rnacentral:rRNA from 1 species
CCCCUCGGGAAAGCCUUCUUCGGGAGGCGAGUAUAGCGGCGAACGGGUGAGUAACACGUAGGUAACCUGCCUUGGAGACCGGGAUAACCCGUCGAAAGAUGGGCUAAUACCGGAUAAGACCACGAGGUCCUCGGAUCUUGCGGGAAAAGGUGGCCUCUGCUUGCAGGCUACUACUCUAAGAUGGGCCUGCGUGCCAUUAGCUUGUUGGUGAGGUAACGGCUCACCAAGGCCGAGAUGGCUAGCUGGUCUAAGAGGAUGGCCAGCCACACUGGGACUGAGACACGGCCCAGACUCCUACGGGAGGCAGCAGUGGGGAAUAUUGCACAAUGGGCGCAAGCCUGAUGCAGCAACGCCGCGUGAGUGAAGAAGGCUUUCCCGAGGGG